rnacentral:rRNA from 1 species
AACGAACGCUGGCGGCAUGCCUAACACAUGCAAGUCGAACGAUGGCUUCGGCCAUAGUGGCGCACGGGUGAGUAACACGUGGGAACCUGCCUUUCGGUUCGGAAUAACGUUUGGAAACGAACGCUAACACCGGAUACGCCCUUUGGGGGAAAGUUUACGCCGAAAGAGGGGCCCGCGUCCGAUUAGGUAGUUGGUGGGGUAAUGGCCCACCAAGCCGACGAUCGGUAGCUGGUCUGAGAGGAUGAUCCGCCACACUGGGACUGAGACACGGCCCAGAAUCCUACGGGGGGCAGCAGUGGGGAAUAUUGGACAAUGGGCGCAAGCCUGAUCCAGCAAUGCCGCGUGAGUGAUGAAGGCCUUAGGGUUGUAAAGCUCUUUCGCACGUGACGAUGAUGACGGUAACGUGAGAAGAAGCCCCGGCUAACUUCGUGCCAGCCGCCGCAGUAAGAC